rnacentral:lncRNA from 1 species
AGUCUCUUACUGUUUCGCUCCGUGGGUCAAGUCUCUGCAAAGCCUUCACGCUGAGCCUUGCCUUGCAGGCAGCCUUUGUGAGGCAGUCAUCAUGGCUCAGCUAACUGCAGCAGGAAGAGGCAGACAUGGAGCUAAAAGCACAGCAGCUGGGAUUCCAGGAAAGCAGGAAGUUCUGCAGUUAGCAUCAGGUUAGUCUACCAGCGAGAGUGGAGCUGGGUCAUAGGCCCAGGUUGAGGGUAAGGACCCUGAGAUGGUUUGGCUGUGUCCCCACCCGAAUCUCCUUUUGAAUUGUAGCUCUCAUAAGUCCCACGUGUUGUGGGAGGGAUCUGGUGGGAGACGAUUGAAUCGUGGGGGUGGUUUCCCCCAUAGUGUUCUUAUGGUGGUGAAUAAGUCUCAUGAGAUCUGAUGGUUUUAUAAGGAGUUUCCCCUUUUGCUUGGCUCUCAUUCUCUCUUGCCUGCUGCCAUGUAAGAUGUGCAUUUUGCCUUUGAUUGUGAGGUCUCCUCAGCCAUGUGGAACUGUGAGUUCAUUAAACCUAUUUUUCUUUAUAAAUUA